UCGCUUUCCCGCGUCAAAAAAAAAAAAAAUUCUUUCCUCUCCAACAACUCCACUCUCUACCCCUUCCUAUUCCUUGCUUGUAUCCUUUCAAUUUCCUCAUGUCAAUUUUCCCUCACCAUCACCAUGUCUCUUCUUUCUCUCCUCCUCCUCCUCCUCAUCUUCUCCUCUCUCUCCAUCUCCCUCUCUGCUCAAUCCCCUCCCAGAGGUACUCUCAUUGAUUGCGGCGCCACACUUCCUUCCCUCAUCGACGGCCGUCAAUGGCUUCCAGACCAAAGCUUUAUUUCGGCGGGGACUUCCAAAAUCGUUACAACCACUGUCCUUUUCCCUACCUUAUCCACCGUCCGUUCGUUCCCUCUGCGGAACAAUCUCCGCCGUAAGUUCUGCUACGUCGUGCCGGUCUUCCGUGGGGCUAAAUACAUGGUCAGAACCACUUACUUCUACGGAGGGGUCAACGGCGAUGUUUCGCCCCCGGUGUUCGAUCAAAUCGUCGACGGAACCCUCUGGAGCCUGGUCAACACUACAGAAGAUUAUGCCAACGGUAUGUCCUCGUACUACGAAGGGAUUUUUGUCCCCAAAGGAAAGACGAUGAGCGUGUGCAUCGCGGCUAAUACUUACACAGUCUCUGACCCCUUCAUUUCGUCUCUGGAAUUCGUGAUUCUUGGCGGUUCGCUUUACAAUUCUACGGAUUUCGAAAAAUUUGGAUUGCAUUUGGUUGCCAGGCACGGUUUUGGAUAUAAUGGACCCAUUAUCCGAUACCUGAUGAUGAGUUUGAUCGUUUUUGGGGACCAUAUGGAGAAAGUAAUCCUUCUACAGCGAGCAAUAGAAGUUUAUCCAUUUCUGGUUUCUGGAAUCUUCCGGCUUCUAGUAUAUUCGAUACAGCGAUAAAAGCUAUCCAGCCAGAAUCCUUAGAGUUGAAAUGGCCGCCAGUCUCCCUUCCAAACUCAAUAUACUAUAUUGCUUUGUACUUUGCAGAUGAUCGUGAUACAUUGGAAGGAGGCUCAAGGGUGCUUGAUAUAAGCAUCAAUGGUGUAACAUAUUACAGAAAUUUGAAUUUGACUACAGCAGGUGCUGUUGUCUUCGCAAGCCAGUGGCCUCUGGUUGGUCCUACAACAAUAACUUUGACUCCUGCUGCCAGAUCAAAUAUUGGUCCCCUGAUCAAUGGUGGAGAGAUUUUCCAAUUACUGCUUCUUGGUGGAAGAACUCUUACACGGGAUGGAAUUUAACAAGUAUGAGCCUUUCAGGUUUGCUGUCACCUAGUAUUGUGAACAUGACUGCAUUGAUGGGCAUUUGGCUGGGGAAUAACAACUUGUCAGGAUCCUUACCUGUUCUCGGUUCACUUAAGAUGCUGGAGGCUCUGUGAGUCGAAAAACUUCCUUUAUUAUUAUCAUUAUUUUCUGUAUCAUCUCUCUUUGAGAUAUGAAUUAUCUAAUUUUUUUUUCAUAUGAAGCUAGUACAUUAGUAUCUAAUUUAAUUUGAUAAUUACAUACUUCUUGGGGAUUUGUAUGCAAAUGGGCUGGAACUUUUGAGGGAAGGGCUGGGGGUUAGCUGGGAGAUACUAUUGCAAGAUAUUUGGUUUU